UUAAGCGACUAAGCGUACACGGUGGAUGCCCUGGCAGUCAGAGGCGAUGAAGGACGUGCUAAUCUGCGAAAAGCGUCGGUAAGGUGAUAUGAACCGUUACAGCCGGCGAUGUCCGAAUGGGGAAACCCAGUGCAAUUCGUUGCACUAUCGUUAACUGAAUACAUAGGUUAACGAGGCGAACCGGGGGAACUGAAACAUCUAAGUACCCCGAGGAAAAGAAAUCAACCGAGAUUCCCCCAGUAGCGGCGAGCGAACGGGGAGCAGCCCAGAGUCUGAAUCAGCUUGUGUGUUAGUGGAACGGUCUGGAAAGUCCGACGGUACAGGGUGAUAGUCCCGUACACCAAAAUGCACAGGUUGUGAACUCGAAGAGUAGGGCGGGACACGUGGUAUCCUGUCUGAAUAUGGGGGGACCAUCCUCCAAGGCUAAAUACUCCUGACUGACCGAUAGUGAACCAGUACCGUGAGGGAAAGGCGAAAAGAACCCCGGCGAGGGGAGUGAAAAAGAACCUGAAACCGUGUACGUACAAGCAGUGGGAGCACCUUCGGGUGUGACUGCGUACCUUUUGUAUAAUGGGUCAGCGACUUAUAUUCUGUAGCAAGGUUAACCGUAUAGGGGAGCCGCAGGGAAACCGAGUCUUAACUGGGCGUUAAGUUGCAGGGUAUAGACCCGAAACCCGGUGAUCUAGCCAUGGGCAGGUUGAAGGUUGGGUAACACUAACUGGAGGACCGAACCGACUAAUGUUGAAAAAUUAGCGGAUGACUUGUGGCUGGGGGUGAAAGGCCAAUCAAACCGGGAGAUAGCUGGUUCUCCCCGAAAGCUAUUUAGGUAGCGCCUCGUGAACUCAUCUUCGGGGGUAGAGCACUGUUUCGGCUAGGGGGUCAUCCCGACUUACCAACCCGAUGCAAACUACGAAUACCGAAGAAUGUUAUCACGGGAGACACACGGCGGGUGCUAACGUCCGUCGUGAAGAGGGAAACAACCCAGACCGCCAGCUAAGGUCCCAAAGUCAUGGUUAAGUGGGAAACGAUGUGGGAAGGCACAGACAGCCAGGAUGUUGGCUUAGAAGCAGCCAUCAUUUAAAGAAAGCGUAAUAGCUCACUGGUCGAGUCGGCCUGCGCGGAAGAUGUAACGGGGCUAAACCAUGCACCGAAGCUGCGGCAGCGACACUAUGUGUUGUUGGGUAGGGGAGCGUUCUGUAAGCCUGCGAAGGUGUGCUGUGAGGCAUGCUGGAGGUAUCAGAAGUGCGAAUGCUGACAUAAGUAACGAUAAAGCGGGUGAAAAGCCCGCUCGCCGGAAGACCAAGGGUUCCUGUCCAACGUUAAUCGGGGCAGGGUGAGUCGACCCCUAAGGCGAGGCCGAAAGGCGUAGUCGAUGGGAAACAGGUUAAUAUUCCUGUACUUGGUGUUACUGCGAAGGGGGGACGGAGAAGGCUAUGUUAGCCGGGCGACGGUUGUCCCGGUUUAAGCAUGUAGGCUGAUUGUCCAGGCAAAUCCGGAUAAUCAAGGCUGAGGUGUGAUGACGAGGCACUACGGUGCUGAAGUAACAAAUGCCCUGCUUCCAGGAAAAGCCUCUAAGCAUCAGGUAACAUCAAAUCGUACCCCAAACCGACACAGGUGGUCAGGUAGAGAAUACCAAGGCGCUUGAGAGAACUCGGGUGAAGGAACUAGGCAAAAUGGUGCCGUAACUUCGGGAGAAGGCACGCUGGUGUGUAGGUGAAGUCCCUGCGGAUGGAGCUGAGACCAGUCGAAGAUACCAGCUGGCUGCAACUGUUUAUUAAAAACACAGCACUGUGCAAACACGAAAGUGGACGUAUACGGUGUGACGCCUGCCCGGUGCCGGAAGGUUAAUUGAUGGGGUUAUCCGUAAGGAGAAGCUCUUGAUCGAAGCCCCGGUAAACGGCGGCCGUAACUAUAACGGUCCUAAGGUAGCGAAAUUCCUUGUCGGGUAAGUUCCGACCUGCACGAAUGGCGUAAUGAUGGCCAGGCUGUCUCCACCCGAGACUCAGUGAAAUUGAACUCGCUGUGAAGAUGCAGUGUACCCGCGGCAAGACGGAAAGACCCCGUGAACCUUUACUAUAGCUUGACACUGAACAUUGAGCCUUGAUGUGUAGGAUAGGUGGGAGGCUUUGAAGCGUGGACGCCAGUCUGCGUGGAGCCAACCUUGAAAUACCACCCUUUAAUGUUUGAUGUUCUAACGUUGGCCCCUGACCGGGGUUGCGGACAGUGUCUGGUGGGUAGUUUGACUGGGGCGGUCUCCUCCCAAAGCGUAACGGAGGAGCACGAAGGUUAGCUAAUCCUGGUCGGACAUCAGGAGGUUAGUGCAAUGGCAUAAGCUAGCUUGACUGCGAGCGUGACGGCGCGAGCAGGUGCGAAAGCAGGUCAUAGUGAUCCGGUGGUUCUGAAUGGAAGGGCCAUCGCUCAACGGAUAAAAGGUACUCCGGGGAUAACAGGCUGAUACCGCCCAAGAGUUCAUAUCGACGGCGGUGUUUGGCACCUCGAUGUCGGCUCAUCACAUCCUGGGGCUGAAGUAGGUCCCAAGGGUAUGGCUGUUCGCCAUUUAAAGUGGUACGCGAGCUGGGUUUAGAACGUCGUGAGACAGUUCGGUCCCUAUCUGCCGUGGGCGCUGGAGAAUUGAGGGGGGCUGCUCCUAGUACGAGAGGACCGGAGUGGACGCAUCACUGGUGUUCGGGUUGUCAUGCCAAUGGCACUGCCCGGUAGCUAAAUGCGGAAGAGAUAAGUGCUGAAAGCAUCUAAGCACGAAACUUGCCCCGAGAUGAGUUCUCCCUGAGACUAUAAGUCUCCUGAAGGAACGUUAAAGACGAUGACGUUGAUAGGCCGGGUGUGUAAGCGCAGCGAUGCGUUGAGCUAACCGGUACUAAUGAACCGUGAGGCUUAACCUU
rnacentral:rRNA from 10 species